rnacentral:rRNA from 4 species
UGGUGGGUAGUUUGACUGGGGCGGUCUCCUCCUAAAGAGUAACGGAGGAGCACGAAGGUUGGCUAAUCCUGGUCGGACAUCAGGAGGUUAGUGCAAUGGCAUAAGCCAGCUUGACUGCGAGCGUGACGGCGCGAGCAGGUGCGAAAGCAGGUCAUAGUGAUCCGGUGGUUCUGAAUGGAAGGGCCAUCGCUCAACGGAUAAAAGGUACUCCGGGGAUAACAGGCUGAUACCGCCCAAGAGUUCAUAUCGACGGCGGUGUUUGGCACCUCGAUGUCGGCUCAUCACAUCCUGGGGCUGAAGUAGGUCCCAAGGGUAUGGCUGUUCGCCAUUUAAAGUGGUACGCGAGCUGGGUUUAGAACGUCGUGAGACAGUUCGGUCCCUAUCUGCCGUGGGCGCUGGAGAACUGAGGGGGGCUGCUCCUAGUACGAGAGGACCGGAGUGGACGCAUCACUGGUGUUCGGGUUGUCAUGCCAAUGGCACUGCCCGGUAGCUAAAUGCGGAAGAGAUAAGUGCUGAAAGCAUCUAAGCACGAAACUUGCCCCGAGAUGAGUUCUCCCUGAGACUUAGAGUCUCCUGAAGGAACGUUGAAGACGACGACGUUGAUAGGCCGGGUGUGUAAGCGCAGCGAUGCGUUGAGCUAACCGGUACUAAUGAACCGUGAGGCUUAACCUUA